rnacentral:rRNA from 1 species
GACGAACGCUGGCGGCGUGCUUAACACAUGCCAGUCGAACGGAAAGGCCCUGCUUUUGUGGGGUGCUCGAGUGGCGAACGGGUGAGUAACACGUGAGUAACCUGCCCUUGACUUUGGGAUAACUUCAGGAAACUGGGGCUAAUACCGGAUAGGAGCUCCUGCUGCAUGGUGGGGGUUGGAAAGUUUCGGCGGUUGGGGAUGGACUGGCGGCUUAUCAGCUUGUUGGUGGGGUAGUGGCUUACCAAGGCUUUGACGGGUAGCCGGCCUGGGAGGGUGACCGGCCACAUUGGGACUGAGAUACGGCCCAGACUCCUACGGGAGGCAGCAGUGGGGAAUAUUGCACAAUGGGCGGAAGCCUGAUGCAGCAACGCCGCGUGCGGGAUGACGGCCUUCGGGUUGUAAACCGCUUUCGCCUGUGACGAAGCGUGAGUGACGGUAAUGGGUAAAGAAGCACCGGCUAACUACGUG